rnacentral:sRNA from 2 species
UUGCAUAAAAAGCCGAAUUUCCGAAGGAAAACGGGGGAACCAUGUUUGUAGGGGUGAAUGUUGCCGGAUUGCCGGGCGAGAGCCAUUCUCGAACGGCGCGAAGGCGGCUAGGGCAGCCGGUGUGCCCGAACCCGUCAGCUAACCUCGUAGGCUGCACACGGGAACCUGU